CGGCACCGCAGCAGCUGGGGAGGGGGAGAGCCAUGAAUGGGGAUAUGGUGGCGAUCCGGGCGUGGAUGGGGACGUCAGGGGACACGGACAUGGGUGGGGACACGUGGGGGACAGGGACAGGGGGGGGGACAUGGGGUGAACUCCCAGGGAAUGUGGAGGAUGGUGGGUUUGAUCCAGUUGAGGUUUCUUGGGAGGAACGUGGAGUGCCGUGCCACGUAAAGUGAAAUUCCAGAUCAUUCGGGAGCGUGCCAUGGAUCCAAGAGGGGAAUUCCCAAGGCUCCCAGGGGCUGCUUAUGCCCUGCUUCCCCAGGGAGCUGUGCAGGGGCAGGGGGCAAGGUGCAGAAGCUGUGUGGUAGGCUACCAGAGCAGACAGCAGAGGUGGCUUUGCUGGACAUUUCCAGCCCAUUCCCAGCUCAAAGCUGUGGGAAGAAGAAAAAGAAAGUGAGAAUCCCUGAGAGAAUCCCAGAACGACUGCGGGGAAAGGGUGUGGAAGCCCCUCCUGUGGUUCCCCUCUUGGGGAGACCCUAAUUCUCCUAGAUUCCAAUUCAUCCCAAAAUAUUAGAAGGUUUCCACAUAAUUGAAGAUUAAAAGCAGUGUCCUCCUAAGGAUCAAAACUUCUCAAAAGAUGCAAAGCAAUAUUCCGUGUACCCUAAGUAUGAAUAUGUAGGGACCCUGGCCGUGGGCUGCAGUCCCAGAGGGAGAGACACCUCUACCCGAGGGAAGGUGCAAAUGAGACCACAGCACCGCAACCCACGUAUUUUUUUGAACAUGUAUUUUACUGAAGAUAGUAUUGACCAAGGAAUGUGAGGUAGAGAAAUAGGAAAGAGGUCUCAGGGACAUAAAGAAUUAGGAAAGAUCUCUGGCUCGGACUCGGCAGCUGCCGGGGAGACUCGCAGAGCGCAGCGCCUUUUCCAAUUCCUGCCACAGGACGCACUGACCAAUUUCCUGUGAAACACAAGUCUAGUCUCCUGUGAAAAUUUAAAAGUUUAAUAAAGGACAAUAGGAGACAGCAACCAUGAAGC